GGAGAGAGGAGACAAACAAGAACUUGGAUGUGCCUGGGGAGAGAAGACUCUGAGAACAACACACCGCCUGGGAUUCUGAGUGGCAGCUUCACAGCCCUUCAAAGAGGCGGUUCACCCUGGCUUCUGGAUUGCCGCCGAAGGUGCUGGCCUGGACUGCCUCCCACCCAAGCUACAGGAAAAGGUUCCCGAAUACUUCCAGCGCCCGGUCAUCCACUGGUCCCCACUCCAGAGACUCAGUAACUGUCAUAAAGCCCAGCUCUGUCCCCUCACUGGUGAAGGCGGGCAGUGGCACCUGACGAGCGGGAUCUGAUGCUGCCAGGGCAGGCACGUCCUCUCUCCUGGACACCACCCCCCG